rnacentral:lncRNA from 1 species
UCAAGUGAAAUAGCCAUUUAUAAUUAAAUACAUUCUUACGAGAUAUAAUAACAUACAUGCUUACCUUACGUGAUCUACAAGUUAUACUGCCCAAAUACAUAAGUACACAACCCAUGUUUCCUGUCUACGGAGCCUCUAAGGAUACAAAAGAGUUUUACAAUACUUGCUGGUAACAAGGCUCCGGUUAUACCUUACACAAAUACCAAAAUAAAACUUCAAGAGGAAAAGCGACAUGAGCCACGCAGGGCCCCGAGAGGAAAGGGGCUGACCAAUACAGCUGACGGAAAGUGGAGGAGGUACUACUGUCGGUGGACUGGAGUACCUGCUAUAGAACCACCUAUAAUCAUCACAAGAAUGUAGCGCCCCCGGCCAAAGGGACGUCAGUACAUUUGAAUUGUACUGGUAUGUAUGAAUAAACUUUAUCCCAAGUAAAAUCAAUCAAUACAUAGAUAACGAACAGUAAUGGAAUCACCAAUCAUUGCACAUGAAAGGAACAACCAAGGCCAACAAGUUUCACAAUCUCUCCUUUUCCCUUUUCAAUAUCAUUUCAUCCUAUUAAUGAUUUCACGAACUUUCAUUUCAAUAGUGAUAAUGAUCACAUUCCAUACUUAUUACCUCGUCCACCCUUAUUACCUCAGCCACCCUUAUCACCCCAACCAAUAAUUUAUCAUUUUGUAUUGCGAUGUGCAACCCGAUCCCACCAGACAAUCACAUUUCGUACAACAACAAUAGUUCACAGUUCAAUCACAUGACUUCAGGCCAUCCCGAAUAUCAUUUCGCAACAACAAUAACAAUUCACAAAGAGUUUUCAUUAACAUCAGUACCAUAUCCAUCAUAUCCAUUAGCCCGUAUACAAUUCAAGUCACAACGAUAAUUGCCCACAACAAGCCAUACAUGAUAUUACCAUAGUUGUUUAAAUUGCAUCGAUUACGACUUCUUCCCAUCAUUUAUUACACAACCCUUACCACAUAAACACAUUCACACACACACUUGGUUUGUUGCCAUUUAUUCACACCAUCAUAUCGGAAUGUUUAACCAAUAAUGUUCAAGGCAUAUUAAUCACAAUAAUUUAUGAAAUAGGCCAUCUUGCCUUAACACCCGUGAAGCAACCAAAAUUCACAAAUAGCCUACAUAAGUAACACAUACCAAUUACUCGUACACCAAACAGGAUGACUUUACAAAGGUUAAAGUUAGCCAUACAUACCUGUAGUCGAAUUUCCUUUUUUUAACUCCUACUCUCAAUUCACCGAACUGCCUAGUACCGUCAAUCCAAUUCACAAGUUAAUACAUAUAUCUUAGAAUUGAAAUUCACAAAUACAACCCGAACUCACAUAGAUUAUCAUCCCCUCCUUUUUGCAAAUCUUUUACUCCUACCCAAUUCGUCUUACUAGAUUUUAGAUAUUAAAGAACAUGCAUGUAUGGUUCAAAUUAUAUUUUAAAGAAUCAAUUAAUGAGAACCCCCUUUUUGUUUAAAUCUAAAAACCUAUGAAAAAGGGUUGGAGAUUUUACCUGCAAGAGCGAAGAUGAAGAAAAAUUACUCAAAAUUUCCAGGCCUGGGUGACUUUGAAAAUUAAAUUGAUAGAGAUGAGACUUUCUCUCUCAAGAAUCCUCCCUUCCCCCUCUCUACUUUUGAUCAGAAAAUGGGUUAAAAUGAAGGGUUGGGAUGUUUUAUUGAAGAAGGGGUCGAGUUAAAAUGAUGGGUUAAAAUGAAGGGUUUGGAGCCCCGACACGGAAUGCGGUCAUAAAAUUAAAACACACUAUGCAGGUAUGCGACCACUAUGCGGUCCGCAUACACGUUAUGCCAUCGCAUAGUGCAUCGCAUAACCUCCCUCACCAAAAGUCAAUGGGCAAUAAUGCGACAACUAUGCGGUCCGCAUAACCACAAUGCAAUCGCAUUCUGGACCGCAUAGUUGUCCUCCAAUUGAGCAGUGGCCUGCCCAUGUAUGCGACCAUUAUGUGGUCCGCAUACAUAUUAUGCGAUCUCAUAAUACGUUGCAUAAUGCCCUAUUCCUGGAAAAUUUUAUCUUUCGUAUUCCGGGGUACUUUUCACUUAAAAGGUCAAGAAUUUCUACAGUUAUAACAACACAGGGACCUACUCGACAUUAUUUUCGGCAAGAAAUUUUACGGGUCUUUUCAAUAUUGACUUCGAAGAAAUAUUGCAACAUAGCUCAUAUCAUACUAAAAAUGGACAACACGAAAAUGGAAGCUCUGUGUUAUCUAUUUUCCCAAAAGAAUUAUGAUAAUACGGGAAAACACAUACGUUUUAAUGAGCAUUAUCACUUCAGCCAAACAUGAAUGACCAAUUCAGACAUAUUUUGGAUUCUUGAACUUGUUCCACUUAACUGGGAGUAAAGAACAGGUAUAGCUAUAUAAGGUAAUAAAUUAUUUCAUCGUGCUAAAAACUUUCAAUAAGAUGGACAAACACAAUAGUCAUUCAUUAUCUUCCACAACUACAACUUGCUAUGGACUUACAUUUUCAUUUACAACAAAAAAACUGUUGUGAUAUGAACCUACUGUAGUUGGGAUUAAGCUUUAAUGAACAUAAGAGCAGCUUAUCUAUCAACUUCAACCCAUAAUUUCCAAACAUAAUACCUAAAGGUCACAACAAUGCCAAAUUGAGGGAAUACAAACAACUUAAAAAUAAUAUUUUAAUAAAAAGGUGGCACACGAACCAUACUUAGACUAACUCAAUAACGUUAGAAAUUUUUUUAGCUUUUAGCAGCUUUGCAGAAACAUAUGCAUUCAGUUAUUAGCAGCUUUGCAGACCAAAUUAUCACCCAAAAUAGUAUAGAGAGCAGCUGCCAGUACAAGAAACCCAGAAACAUAUAUAUUCGGUAAAUUUUCUUUCUUGGUACAAGUAAAUAGGCAAGAUUAUAAUAUCCAGAACAACACACAAAGAAUUAUACAACCACAAAGAGUUGUUAAGGUAACCACAGAAAUACACAACGACAAAGGGCCGGAGGCGAAGUUAAAAAAUGACUAGACUAACCAGACUUAGCCAUCUUACUAACUUCCCUAUGAAAAAAAUAGAAUAGAUCCAGAGCAGUGGUAGAAAAGCAACAGAAGGAUGAGGAGGAGGAGGAGAAGAAGAAGGAAGAAAGAAAAGAAAGGGUGCAACAUUUGGAGUACGUACUGACCUUGAUUGUUACUCUUAGUAGAUAGAUGAUUGUUUAGUUGCAUAGCAGCUUGUUGUGCAGAGGAAGUCACUCCAGGUGAACAGCAUUGAGAGCUAGCAUGUUAGGAGCAACACGUAAUCCUGGAUUCAAACAUACUAGUAAGUUAAAUCCUACUUUAAAUAGCCGACAUUGAUAAUGUUUUAUACAUACUUCAAAACAUGAAUGUCGUAUACUAGAAGUUGUACCCAUACAAUCACCUGUAAUGUUUUCUAUCCAACACUUUGAACCAGUUACUUUGAAAGUUAGACUUUUUUGUCUAACAUAAGUAAAACACUCUUUAUCCUAACAAGUUUUCCGACAGUAAAACUAAAGCAAGAUGAAAAUAAAUGUAAACAUAACCAUAAAAUUUGUUGCUUUUGGAUAUUGAACCAGAAUUACUAUUAGACUAGUAACACUGUGCUCCAAAUAGAAUUGCAAGUAGAUAUCUUAAAUAUGAUUGGUAGUAUGAUGGAACUUGGAAAAAACUUUAAAGAGGCUCUAUAGGUACUUAAAUGCAUAUGCACAUCUCAGUUAGUCAAUGAAAUCCAUAUGCACAUCUCAAUUAGUUGUCCAGUUCUUGAACUUGCAAUCUUUGGAAGUCUAUUUUUUUAUGCUUUUCAGUACCUUCUUGUUUGGUAGUCCAAGGAGAAAAAUUGUAUAUAAGUCAACACAUGGAUUGAGAAUCUAGAACAUCUACCGAC